GGAGGAAAGCAGGGGAUCGCAAGACCUUGCGCUCUUGGAGCGGCCGAUGUCUGAUUAGCUAGUUGGUGAGGUAAAGGCUUACCAAGGCGACGAUCAGUAGCUGGUCUGAGAGGACGACCAGCCACACUGGGACUGAGACACGGCCCAGACUCCUACGGGAGGCAGCAGUGGGGAAUUUUGGACAAUGGGGGAAACCCUGAUCCAGCCAUGCCGCGUGAGUGAAGAAGGCCUUCGGGUUGUAAAGCUCUUUCAGCCGGAACGAAACGGUCACGGCUAAUACCUGUGACUACUGACGGUACCGGAAGAAGAAGCACCGGCUAACUACGUGCCAGCAGCCGCGGUAAUACGUAGGGUGCAAGCGUUAAUCGGAAUUACUGGGCGUAAAGCGCGCGCAGGCGGUUUUGUAAGUCAGAUGUGAAAUCCCCGGGCUUAACCUGGGAACUGCGUUUGAAACUACAAGGCUAG
rnacentral:rRNA from 1 species